UCGGGAAUAUUGGACAAUGGGCGCAAGCCUGAUCCAGCCAUGCCGCGUGUGUGAUGAAGGCCCUAGGGUUGUAAAGCACUUUCAACGGUGAAGAUAAUGACGGUAACCGUAGAAGAAGCCCCGGCUAACUUCGUGCCAGCAGCCGCGGUAAUACGAAGGGGGCUAGCGUUGUUCGGAAUUACUGGGCGUAAAGCGCGCGUAGGCGGAUUGAUCAGUCAGGGGUGAAAUCCCGGGGCUCAACCCCGGAACUGCCUUUGAUACUGUCAAUCUAGAGGUCGAGAGAGGUGAGUGGAAUUCCGAGUGUAGAGGUGAAAUUCGUAGAUAUUCGGAGGAACACCAGUGGCGAAGGCGGCUCACUGGCUCGAUACUGACGCUGAGGUGCGAAAGCGUGGGGAGCAAACAGGAUUAGAUACCCCCGUAGUCC
rnacentral:rRNA from 1 species